rnacentral:rRNA from 1 species
GCAUCCAUCAGGUUCCUUGUGUUUUUUCAUGCAUAUGCUCGUUCUUCUUUUCGCUAUUGCAAAGCCAAGAGUGCAACGCAACAUCGCCCCUUUACCACGAAAACCGCCAUGGCUAGAGGCUACGCAGGCCGGAUCCAGGCCUUCUCCAAAGCCGCUCUUCUUGGUUUGGUCCUCUUAUCCAUGGUGACCUGGGUACCGCAUGCGUGUUCUUGCCUGAGGGCCUUCCUCUUUGUGUCACUUCCUUCUGCUGCUUCAGCGAUCGCCACACCCAAGUGCCUCUUCAUCUUCUCCAACAUCAUCGUCCUCUUCCUCGCCACCGAGUCCAGGCUCUCGCGGAACGGUGCUCGAUCCCCGAGCACUGGUGAGGAUGACAUAGAUGCUGUGGUCCGUGAGCUUGUGGCUUUUACACAUGCAAUCAAAGAGACCCAUGCUGCAGAAGAGAUCGUCAAAGCAGAACAAGAAGUUAGUGUACGCAUGACCACGCAGCAGCUAGAUCAAUGUGAAAAGGAAGAAGAGAGCGACGUCGCACUGGUUAACAAUAAUGUUGGUGAUGACCUGCAAGAAGAGGUGAUGAAGGAAGAAGACUGUGAGGAGUCAACGGAGCUGCCUACUGAGGAGCUGAAUAGGAGAGUGGAAGACUUCAUUGCAAGAUUCAACAUGGAGAGGCAGCUCGAGGCAAGGAUGGUCGUGUGUUGCUGCUGAGGAAACUGGCUUAAUCAUGUUUGUCUUUGUGUAAUUAAGGUAUUUGCCAAAGCCGGCACUGGUACCUUAUCAAGUCAAAUGUGCAGCAAGCUGAAAUAACAUGCUUGUGAUGUAUAUUCCAUGUUCGCUAUUAUGCAAGCAACAAAAUUACAUCUUCCUUUUUUAUUUCCGACUUUCGAUGCAGAUCAGUGGUUGAGAUUAGAACUUGCCUCUUCAGCUAAAGGGUAAGUUAUCCUUUUAGCUGAAGAAGUGAGUUAUCCUUCUAGUUUUUGAUAAGUAAAGCUGGACAGAUUAC